AACACAACAAAAUUUUGAGCAAAGAGAACCUGGAAAUGCUUCUUGCUCAGCUAAACAGAAUGACGUGGUGGCCUUGGAAAAUGACACACUGCAGGCUAGCACUGGGGAAAGUACAAAUGAAGCAUCAGAAGGUGUUUGAAAUUGUGGGGAAAAUGAUGGAGAAACAGCUUCAAAAUGCUUACUCAUCUCCUUCAACUCUCCAUGCUGGAUAACAGGGAUAUACAUGUGUUGUAAAGAAAGAUAACACAGAGAAUGGCACAGGAGUGCAAGAGACGCUGUCUCUGGGGGCUUCCCCCAAAAGCUGGAGCCUGCUGCUGCUCAGAAUUUCUAUUGCUGUGCUAGGCUGGGACACAGUCCUGUGACUGGCAGAGCUUCCCAGAAAGGAGGACUGGUAAUAGAGCGAGUAAUGUCCAGGGGAGAUUGAAAGAGGAUGUGAAACUUCAGGAGUGGAAUCAAUGGACAGAUGCAACAAUGAUAAAAGGAAAUGUUCCGUGUACGCUCGUUUAGCAUGUACAGGGAUUUAACUAUUUGUUGGCCUUUUUAGAGGCUGUGCAAUAUGAUGCAGUGCCAUCGGAACUGAACCCAUGGCUGCAGCAGUUUUCUACAGACUUUUGAACCAUUUGCAUGCCCAAGUCUCUUCAAUAACAACAUUAGAGGGGCACAUCACAGCUGAAAAUCAGUGCUGAGACAUGGAAAGGGCUAUGACAGCAGCUGUUACAAGGCACAUCACAGCUCAGUGGCUGGAAGGAGAAGCUGAACUAAUUCAGGUUCUGCAUAAGAAAGUGCCAUAAGUUCCAGGCACAAGGAAGGAGCAGGAACAAAGGAGGUUCACCACAGGAACAGGAUAAUUAAAUGCUGAGAUAAUUUACCUGGUGAUACAUCUGUUGGCUUUGGUGCUGUUCCCCUUCCACAGCAGAAGACCAAGCCUGGUUGUUCACAGAGCCAGAGUGUGAGCUCAGAAAACUAAACAGGGAGAAAUUUGUACUUUUAAGUCAAUAUUUUAUGUCUAAAUUCAGCUUUUUCCUAAAUCAUCUAUUUACCUUCACUUCACUUCUGUAGCUCUUGUGGAGUGUGUUGCAGCAGGAUGAGUUGUUUUCUGUCUUGUUCAAGCUGCAGGUGAAAGUGGUGAGCUAAAUAG